UACGUAGGGGGCAAGCGUUGUCCGGAUUUAUUGGGCGUAAAGAGCGUGUAGGCGGCUAGAUAGGUCCGUUGUGAAAACUCGAGGCUCAACCUCGAGACGUCGAUGGAAACCAUCUGGCUAGAGUCCGGAAGAGGAGAGUGGAAUUCCUGGUGUAGCGGUGAAAUGCGCAGAUAUCAGGAAGAACACCCGUGGCGAAGGCGGCUCACUGGUCCGGUACUGACGCUGAGGUGCGAAAGCGUGGGGAGCAAACAGG
rnacentral:rRNA from 1 species